rnacentral:rRNA from 1 species
AACGAACGCUGGCGGCAGGCUUAAUACAUGCAAGUCGAACGUGAAAGUCCUUCGGGAUGAGUAAAGUGGCGCACGGGUGAGUAACACGUGGGAACGUACCCUUGGGUGCGGGAUAAGUACGGGAAACUGUAGCUAAUACCGCACAAUGUCUUCGGACCAAAGAUUUAUCGCCUAAGGAUCGGCCCGCGUUGGAUUAGCUUGUUGGUGGGGUAAUGGCCUACCAAGGCGACGAUCCAUAGCUGGUCUGAGAGGAUGAUCAGCCACACUGGAACUGAGACACGGUCCAGACUCCUACGGGAGGCAGCAGUAGGGAAUGUUGGGCAAUGGACGAAAGUCUGACCCAGCCAUGCCGCGUGAAUGAUGAAGGCCUUAGGGUUGUAAAGUUCUUUCGCCGAUGAAGAUAAUGACGGUAGUCGGAUAAGAAGCCCCGGCUAACUUCGUGCCAGCAGCCGCAGUAA